UCCUGGCUCAGGAUGAACGCUGGCGGCGUGCCUAAUACAUGCAAGUCGAGCGAGGUUCUUCGGAACCUAGCGGCGGACGGGUGAGUAACACGUGGGUAACCUGCCUGUAAGACCGGGAUAACUUCGGGAAACCGAAGCUAAUACCGGAUACUUUCGAGCAUCGCAUGAUGCUUGAUGGAAAGACGGCUUCGGCUGUCACUUACAGAUGGACCCGCGUCGCAUUAGCUAGUUGGUGAGGUAACGGCUCACCAAGGCGACGAUGCGUAGCCGACCUGAGAGGGUGAUCGGCCACACUGGAACUGAGACACGGCCCAGACUCCUACGGGAGGCAGCAGUAGGGAAUCUUCGGCAAUGGGCGAAAGCCUGACCGAGCAACGCCGCGUGAGCGAUGAAGGCCUUCGGGUCGUAAAGCUCUGUUGUUAAGGAAGAACAAGUACGAGAGUAACUGCUCGUACCUUGACGGUACUUAACGAGAAAGCCACGGCUAACUACGUGCCAGCAGCCGCGGUAAUACGUAGGUGGCGAGCGUUAUCCGGAAUUAUUGGGCGUAAAGCGCGCGCCGGCGGUUUCUUAAGUCUGAUGUGAAAGCCCACGGCUCAACCGUGGAGGGUCAUUGGAAACUGGGAAACUAGAGUGCAGAAGAGGAAAGCGGAAUUCCACGUGUAGCGGUGAAAUGCGUAGAGAUGUGGAGGAACACCAGUGGCGAAGGCGGCUUUCUGGUCUGUAACUGACGCUGAGGCGCGAAAGCGUGGGGAGCAAACAGGAUUAGAUACCCUGGUAGUCCACGCCGUAAACGAUGAGUGCUAAGUGUUAGAGGGUUUCCCGCCCUUUAGUGCUGAAGUUAACGCAUUAAGCACUCCGCCUGGGGAGUACGGUCGCAAGACUGAAACUCAAAGGAAUUGACGGGGGC
rnacentral:rRNA from 1 species